AGCUCUGAUGGCGUAUAUUUAAGUUGUUGCAGUUAAAAAGCUCGUAGUUGGCGCGAUAUGUCUGCUUAGCCGUCUCUUACCAGAGCGCAACGCAGGCACGGGCUCUUUGAGCCUCUGUUACUUUGAGAAAAUUUGAGUGUUUCAGGCGGGCAAGUGCUGAUAAAUUGUACCAUGGAAUGACAAAGUGGCAGUCUUUCUCUUUCUUCGGUCUUGGAAAGACUGUGCGUGGUUGAUAGGAACAGUCGGGGGCAUUCGUAUUGAACAGUCAGAGGUGAAAUUCUGAGAUUUGUUCAAGACGAACUAAUGCGAAAGCAUCUGUCAAGGAUGUUUUCA
rnacentral:rRNA from 1 species